rnacentral:rRNA from 1 species
UGGGGAAUUUUGGACAAUGGGCGCAAGCCUGAUCCAGCCAUGCCGCGUGCGGGAAGAAGGCCUUCGGGUUGUAAACCGCUUUUGUCAGGGAAGAAAUCUUCUGAGUUAAUACCUCGGGAGGAUGACGGUACCUGAAGAAUAAGCACCGGCUAACUACGUGCCAGCAGCCGCGGUAAUACGUAGGGUGCAAGCGUUAAUCGGAAUUACUGGGCGUAAAGCGUGCGCAGGCGGUUUUGUAAGACAGAGGUGAAAUCCCCGGGCUCAACCUGGGAACUGCCUUUGUGACUGCAAGGCUUGAGUGCGGCAGAGGGGGAUGGAAUUCCGCGUGUAGCAGUGAAAUGCGUAGAUAUGCGGAGGAACACCGAUGGCGAAGGCAAUCCCCUGGGCCUGCACUGACGCUCAUGCACGAAAGCGUGGGGAGCAAACAGGAUUAGAUAGCCCUGGUAGUCCACGCCCUAAACGAUGUCAACUGGUUGUUGGGAAGGUUCCUUCUCAGUAACGUAGCUAACGCGUGAA